rnacentral:rRNA from 1 species
UUAGGUAGUUGGUGGGGUAAAGGCCUACCAAGCCGACGAUCCUUAGCUGGUCUGAGAGAACGACCAGCCACACUGGGACUGAGACACGGCCCAGACUCCUACGGGAGGCAGCAGUGGGGAAUUUUGGACAAUGGGCGCAAGCCUGAUCCAGCCAUGCCGCGUGUGUGAAGAAGGCCUUCGGGUUGUAAAGCACUUUCGGCCGGAACGAAAUCGCGCGGGUUAACAGUCCGCGUGGAUGACGGUACCGGAAGAAGAAGCACCGGCUAACUACGUGCCAGCAGCCGCGGUAAUACGUAGGGUGCGAGCGUUAAUCGGAAUUACUGGGCGUAAAGGGUGCGCAGGCGGUUGCGCAAGUCAGGCGUGAAAUCCCCGGGCUUAACCUGGGAAUGGCGCUUGAAACUACGUGACUCGAGUAUGGCAGAGGGAGGUGGAAUUCCACGUGUAGCGGUGAAAUGCGUAGAGAUGUGGAGGAACACCGAUGGCGAAGGCAGCCUCCUGGGCCAAUACUGACGCUCAUGCACGAAAGCGUGGGGAGCAAACAGGAUUAGAUA